UACGAAGGGUGCAAGCGUUACUCGGAAUUACUGGGCGUAAAGCGUGCGUAGGUGGUUCGUUAAGUCUGAUGUGAAAGCCCUGGGCUCAACCUGGGAAUGGCAUUGGAAACUGGCGACCUAGAGUGCGGUAGAGGGUAGUGGAAUUCCCGGUGUAGCAGUGAAAUGCGUAGAUAUCUGGAGGAACACCGGUGGCGAAGGCGGCAUCCUGGACCGGCAUUGACGCUGAGGCGCGAAAGCUAGGGGAGCAAACGGG
rnacentral:rRNA from 1 species